CCGAACCCAGGGCCUUGCACUUGCUAGGUAUUAUGAUAAUUUUUAUAAAAGUGGUCACAGUCCAUUAAUAGAGUUGAAAUUUCAUUUCACUAAGACACUCCCAACAUUAAAAACACUUCAAUUUCUAUUACAUAAAAUUGGGGGUGGGAGUUGUUCAGUUGGCAGUGCCUGCUGCGCAAGCACGGGAACCUGAGCUCCAUCCCUAGGACCCUCAGAGGGAUGCGGCUGUGGUGACUCGCAAUCCUUGCACUGACGCAGCGCCCGCACACGCACAUCCCUGCUCCCUUUCUCUUUUUGUACUGACUUUUCUUGCCUUUGAGUUGUGAACCUAGCCUUCAAUGGCUGAGCUGUCGGUACAGACUUACUAUCUACUUUUGCUAGUCUUACACAUGUGCUAUACUCUCACGGGCAGAAAGGGCUGACAAAGCCUUGGACCUGCAUUAUCAGAGCAACGCUGUGCAGUCUAUGCCAUCAGAUUCGUUUCUGGAAGCAAGAGAGAACAAAGCAAAGGCAUAAGCUCAAGUCUCCGUGGGCUCCAGCCUGCACUACGUACACAGUGAGACCCAGGCUCGCAAAGGACAGAGAAAGUCUACUGGUGACAUAGCUAGGUUGGUGCAGUGCCCGCCAGGCAAGCAUGAAGCUCUAGGUUCAAUCUCCAGUACCACAUAAACUGGGCGUGAAAGCAUACACUAUAAUUUAGAGACUAGAGGUUGGAGGAUCAGAAGUUCUAGGUCUUUGACCUCACAGUAGGUUCAAGGUUAGCCUGGGACACGCAAGACCCAACAAACAAACAAAAUAAGCCUACCUAAAAUAUUUGUGCAAAAAAACCUUUAGAGUAUAUAAAUGACAGGGCUGGUAAAAUGCUCAAACUCUAAGCAUAAGCCUAUAAUGUCUAUGAAGAAUAAUCGAGUUAGAAGGCAGUAAAAUAAUUCUUCAUUCAUAGACAGGUUAGACCUAGAGUAACACAAACAGUCAGUGUGGCCAUUCUCCAUCUUCCCGCCAGGCGGUCAACAGAAUGGGAACAAAAGUUAUCAACUAAAUAGUGUAAGCCAUUUUACUUAACACGGUACAAUGGUUUGUACAAUGGUUCUGGAUCUGAGAAGAAAUGGAUUCUCUGUAAUUUUAAAACGUUUUCAACUUUAUAAAAUGACUUAACUUCAACGGCACUCACCCUUACGUGACACAGCUCGCAUACGAGAGGCCACGUGAUGCACUUUCCAGAGCAACUGAUCUUUCAGUUCUCUCUAAAAUCAGGCCAUGAUGGUUUCUUGUUAAAAUGAAUAUAAAAAUUUAAAGAAACAACUCACAGGGAAGGCAGUGAGGUAUGGGCAAACUCCAAAACGUUAGGAACUUCUUGUUUAGUAAAAGCUGUACUGUUAAAUGUGUGUUUAGUGAAAGCCGUUCUAUUAAACAGUUAUGAGCCUGCGACCUACAUACGCUCAGAUUCCUGUUUCGCCAGUACAUAGAUGCUUGAGACUUACUAAAGAACUUAAACCUCUCCCUUCCCCCAACCCGUGUGAGUGUGUGUGUGUGUGUGUGUGUGUGUGUGUGUGUGUGUGUGUGUGUGUACAGCAUAUGCACUUAUGUGUGCAGGUACACGUGCACACGUGAAGCCUGAGGAGGCUGUCAGGUGACCUCCUCUCCCACUCUCUGCUCUAUUCCUUUGAGGCAGGGUUUCUCCCUGAACAGAGCUCAUGUCUCCAGCUAUGUGGUGGCCAGCGAGCUGCAGUCGUCCUUCUAGCUCCAUGCUCCAGGGCUGGGUCAUAGGCACGUGAGAGACCACACUGACUUAUAGGUGCUAGGACCUGGAUCCAGGUCUUCACGGUUGUGCAGCAAGGACUCUUAGCCAGAAGCGAACUCUCCUAGACUUUAAAAUUUCAAAAGGAUUUCACAAGGAAUUAAUUUUAUAAAGCAAAAUAUAAUUGGUUACAGGAAUAAUUAUUUCCUACAGUCCUUACAGUUAAUUUUGUGUUUGUGAGUAUAUAUUAAGUAUUCAGUAGAGAAUAAUUGAAUGAAACAAAUAAGUUUUCUAUACUAGGGUAUAAUGUAUAUUCCUAUGUUUAUGAAAACAAAAUUAACAGCCUUGCUUAUAACCAGUGAUUCAUGAAAAAAGUAGGUAUUAAGCGUUAAUGGUAUAACAAGGGCUGGAGAUCCAAAUAUGCUAUGGUAGACGAAGUUCUCCCUCAUGAAACUUAUAGUCUAGGAAAACAGCAGAGAAAACAGACCAAACACUAGACACUGUCAUAGUGCUUCCAGGGAAACACUAGACACUGUCAUAGUGCUUCCAGGGAAACACUAGACACUGUCAUAGUGCUUCCAGGGAAACACUAGACACUGUCAUAGUGCUUCCAGGGAAACACUAGACACUGUCAUAGUGCUUCCAGGGAAACACUAGACACUGUCAUAGUGCUUCCAGGGAAACACUAGACACUGUCAUAGUGCUUCCAGGGAAACAAAAGGCAGCGUUGUUACGUCACAGCAAGGGGAGGGUGAGUUAAGAGUUAGAAAGGCCUGCUUGAGGAGGGACAGGUGAGACAGAACCUAAACAAGCUAUCUGCAAGAAUGAGGAAAAAAUAUUAAACCAGUUGGACAAAUAAAGCAAAAGCACAAAGAGGAUGGCGGGACCUAACUUGGUACAUCUGCGUUGAGCAGAAAACACAAAGCCAAAGCUGAUGCUACCAGCUGGCCGAACAGCACCGGAGCCUGCACAUAUCACACCCUCGCUGGCGGCACUCCAGCUCCUCUGGUAAGGAUGAUUCGUCUCAUUCUGAGCUGAUUCUAGUGAGCCACCUACUGGCUCAGGGACAUUCGACUUCUUACCCUACAGAUAUCUGCACAACUUAUAACUGGAAAAGGAAACCUGGAUGGAAAUUCCUGCUGGAUGGAUUCACUGGUCAACUCUACAUAGCAAAGGUAGAACUUCAGACUAGUUAGCACAUGGCGCACAGGGCAAGAAGCUACUGAACCAAUGUUAUCCGUCACAGCAGCAUGAGCCGCUCAUGAGCGGGAAGCCUAAGGAACUCUGCAACUCAAAUGUUCAGCCUGGCACACUUCAGGAUCUCCAUGUUCACUGUCAGCAUAUUACAAUUACCAAAGGGGACCUGUACUUCUAUCAACGAUCUCAUUCCCUGCUUUUCACUAGAACCACCUCAGGCCCACGAAGACACGAUGCCCCAUACGCCACCUGCAGAAUGUCUCUGUGUCGCUGUAGCGUGUGCAUCAGGGCUGCGUUCAGGGAGGGCACCCCUGCACUUCUCCCCAAGUAGCUGGUUAUUGGCCUGCAGUCUGGCUAGGUCUGGAGGAGUGCUCAGAGUACCUGCGGAAGAUGCCUCUACUGUUUCCUGCUUCACUGACACAGCUUUGAUGUCUGCUCUGCUCACAUAGGUUUCUCUGGCUUCACGAAUUCAGUUGGUGAAGGGAUACCUCUCCUCUGUGUUCUGUGUUUCAUUAGAAGCUGUGCUGCGAAGAUGGCCUCUUCAGGUCAUACCUACACAACUCAGACCACACGUACUUGACGCCCCAUCCUCCGGUUUGUGGUGAUUCUACAUGGGAUCCAGUAGCCAACAUGAGCUUCAUAAACUUGGCAGUGGAAAAAUGUUUUUGGACAUUUUAUGUUACGCCAUCACUAGGAAUUAAUUCAAAAUCAAAUGUGCAGCUUCCAAGGUUAUCUGGGCUGCACCCGCCCGCGUUUUCUCAGAAAACUUCACUCCAGUUUGGUUCUGAGCAUACGACCCACACUGUGCAUGACAACUCAUGACAUAAGGGCAACAAAAAAUGUGGCCAGCAA
rnacentral:sRNA from 1 species